rnacentral:rRNA from 1 species
CCUACGGGUGGCAGCAGUGGGGAAUAUUGCACAAUGAGCGAAAGCCUGAUGCAGCGACGCCGCGUGAAGGAUGACGGUCUUCGGAUUGUAAACUUCUGUUAUUAGGGAAGAACAUUUACGGUAGCAAAGGACCGAGCACCGGCGAAGUACGUGCAAGAAGCCGCGGUAAUACAUAUGGCGGCAGCGUCGGCCGGAAUUAGUGGGCGUAAAGGGAGCGCAGGCGGGAUGCCAAGUCAGCUGUGAAAACUACGGGCUUAACGUGUAGACUGCAGUUGAGACUGGUUUUCUGGAGUGAAGUAGAGGUUAGCGGAAUUCCGAGUGUAGCGGUGAAAUGCGUAGAUAUUCGGAGGAACACCGGUGGCGAAGGCGGCCAACUGGGCCUUAACUGACGCUGAGGCUCGAAAGCGUGGGGAGCAAACAGGAUUAGAUACCCGAGUAGUC